rnacentral:tmRNA from 1 species
GGGGCUGUUUUUGGAUUUGACAAAAUUAUCCACAAAAUAAAGUGCAUGCCGAGGAACGGUUUGCCUCGAUAAAAGCCGUAAAAAAAUAUCUGCAAACAAUAAACAAAACUACGCUUUAGCAGCUUAAAAAACUGUAUAAAGCCCUUUCUGCUCAGCUUUUUCUCUUAAGACGAGGAUCACAGAAAGGUCAAAAAAAAGAGAAAAACGUGAAUAUUAAGCUUGAUAAUUAUCACGUAAUAACUUUUCAGGCUAUGUGCCUAAAAUGUGUUUUUUCAAAUUAGGCAACGAAUUUAAAAAAUAAAAAACUAAGCAUGUAGUACUUUAUUCUCGUAGAAAUUUUGGACGCGGGUUCAAAUCCCGCCAGCUCCAA